rnacentral:rRNA from 1 species
GAUGAACGCUAGCUACAGGCUUAACACAUGCAAGUCGAACGAGCAAAGAGGAGCUUGCUUCUCUGAGCGAGUGGCGAACGGGUGAGUAACGCGUGAGGAACCUGCCUCAAAGAGGGGGACAACAGUUGGAAACGACUGCUAAUACCGCAUAAGCCCACGGUGCCGCAUGGCACAGAGGGAAAAGGAGCAAUCCGCUUUGAGAUGGCCUCGCGUCCGAUUAGCUAGUUGGUGAGGUAACGGCCCACCAAGGCGACGAUCAGUAGCCGGCCUGAGAGGGUGAACGGCCACAUUGGGACUGAGACACGGCCCAGACUCCUACGGGAGGCAGCAGUGGGAAUAUUGCACAAUGGGGGAAACCCUGAUGCAGCGACGCCGCGUGGAGGAAGAAGGUCUUCGGAUUGUAAACUCCUGUUGUUGAGGAAGAUAAUGACGGUACUCAACAAGGAAGUGACGGCUAACUACGUG